CGGGAACCAGCCAGGGCCUGUGCUAGCUUCACCGGGCCCACAGGGGAACCCGGUGCGAAGCCGGGACUGACGCGCAGCGGUGUGGACCGCCCCUCGGGGCGUUCCGAGUCCGAAUGCCUGCGGGCACACCACCCGGCAG
rnacentral:ncRNA from 1 species